CCACAAAACCUCAUCAGGGACUCAAGAAUGGUUGAUUUCCCCAUCCUCGUUAUCUCAUCCACUUGGUCUGCAUAUGCUCCAUAUGCAAGUAUCCGCAAGGCAGCAGUAAUUUUUUAAUGAGGAAUGAGACCCAUAGCACCAAAAGCAUCAUUCUUUUGCACAAAGUAAGAAUCAUGGUUGCAAACAGCAAUCAUGAUUUUGUUGAACAAAUGUCAUUCCAUUCUAAAACGACGUCUAAAGUACGUAUUAGGGAAUGCACUAUUACAGACAAAAUAAUCGUCCAAGAGUUCCGUACCUAGUCGUUGUCUGCUUCUAUAAAGGUUUCCGGAACGGCUGGGCCUGCAGAUCUGACCCACAGCUUAGAUGACUCGACGGGAAUGUGAGGCUCUACCCAUUCUUGCUUCGUCAUCUCUCCUUCUACGCUAUUCAUCCUCUUUCCUCUCAGUUUGGGCCACAUGGAGUUUGAACAUUCUUUCUGAUUGGUUAAACAAUUCUU
rnacentral:lncRNA from 1 species